UACGGGGGGGGUAAGCGUUGUUCGGAAUUACUGGGCGUAAAGGGCUCGUAGGCGGCCAACUAAGUCAUACGUGAAAUCCCUCAGCUUAACUGGGGAACUGCGUGUGAUACUGGAUGGCUUGGAUUUGGGAGAGGGAUGCGGAAUUCCAGGUGUAGCGGUGAAAUGCGUAGAUACCACCAAGAACCCCGAUUGCGUAGGCAGCUCGCUGAGCCGAAACUGACGCUGAGGCACGAAAGCGUGGGGAGCGAACAGG
rnacentral:rRNA from 1 species